rnacentral:rRNA from 1 species
CAGCAGCCGCGGGAAAACAGAGGGUGCGAGCGUUAAUCGGAUUUACUGGGCGUAAAGCGUGCGUAGGCGGCUUCUUAAGUCGGAUGUGAAAUCCCUGAGCUUAACUUAGGAAUUGCAUUCGAUACUGGGAAGCUAGAGUAUGGGAGAGGAUGGUAGAAUUCCAGGUGUAGCGGUGAAAUGCGUAGAGAUCUGGAGGAAUACCGAUGGCGAAGGCAGCCAUCUGGCCUAAUACUGACGCUGAGGUACGAAAGCAUGGGGAGCAAACAGGAUUAGAUACCCGCGUAGUCCAUGUCUCUUAUAA